rnacentral:rRNA from 1 species
GUGGAUUAGAUACCCUGGUAGUCCUAGCCCUAAACGGUGCGCAUUUGCUGUAGGAGGAAUCGACCCCUUCUGUGGCGAAGCUAACGCGAUAAAUGCGCCGCCUGGGGAGUACGGUCGCAAGAUUAAAACUCAAAGAAAUUGACGGGGGCCUGCACAAGCGGUGGAGUAUGUGGCUUAAUUCGAUGCAACGCGAAGAACCUUACCUGGCCUUGACAUGCAUUUGGUAGAACCAUGAAAGUGGGACGACCCCGCAAGGGGAGGAUGCACAGGUGCUGCACGGCCGUCGUCAGCU